AAGAAGCUCCCAGAAGACGUUUGGGGAGGAGAUACUUAUUCUUGGAAGUCAUUGGAACAACCUUUUAGCUAUGGAAGUAAAGGGCAGAGUACUAAUAAGGAGGAUAAUUAUGGAGGUAAUGGGGGUGGGAAGAUCUGGUUGGACGUCAAAGAUAUUUUCGAUGCUUGCGGAACUCUUUUGGCUGAUGGAGGGGAUGCUGGAAUCAAAGGAGGUGGUGGUUCUGGUGGCAGUAUUUACAUCAAGUCCAAGAAA
rnacentral:misc_RNA from 1 species